GGAAUAUCAGCUGUGAUUCCCUCUCUGCUGUUUCUGUUGAAUGUCUUUAUUAGAUAUGCCCGUUUGACAAGCUUCAAAAGUACAUCAUUGCAAAACAGUGAAAUAGUACAUACUUGGCUGUCUCACAUACAAACUAAUACUACAUCAGAACAGUUAUUCUUCAAUUACAUAAUUUCUCUUCCAUCUUAAAUCAGUAAAUGUCAAUUCUGAGAAUGGUACCAAUAACAACAACAAUGGAACAAAUUAGUGAAAUUUUAUAUAAGAGAUUUAAACAAGAUAUAGAGCUAACUUUGUUCCGACAUGGAUAAAAGAUAUUAAGCUAGUUAUUUUGAAGAGAAUUAUAAGAAAGCAGAACAGAAAG
rnacentral:misc_RNA from 1 species